GGGGCUGUAGCUCAGUUGGGAGAGCGGUGCGUUCGCAAUGCACAGGCCGAGGGUUCGAGCCCCUUCAGCUCCA
rnacentral:tRNA from 1 species